rnacentral:RNase_P_RNA from 2 species
CGCAAGCGGGAUCAGGUAAGGGUGAAAGGGUGCGGUAAGAGCGCACCGCGCGGCUGGUAACAGUCCGUGGCACGGUAAACUCCACCCGGAGCAAGGCCAAAUAGGGGUUCAUAAGGUACGGCCCGUACUGAACCCGGGUAGGCUGCUUGAGCCAGUGAGCGAUUGCUGGCCUAGAUGAAUGACUGUCCACGACAGAACCCGGCUUAUCGGUCAGUUUCACCU